rnacentral:rRNA from 1 species
AACGAACGUUGGCGGCGUGGAUUAGGCAUGCAAGUCGAGCGAGAACUGUAGCAAUACAGGGAAAGCGGCGAAAGGGAGAGUAAUACGUAGGUACCUACCCUCGGGUCUGGGAUAGCUGCGGGAAACUGCAAUUAAUACCGGAUGACGUCUCUGGACCAAAGGUGUGAUUCCGCCAGGGGAUGGGCCUGCGUCCUAUUAGCUAGUUGGCGGGGUAACGGCCCACCAAGGCAAAGAUGGGUACGGGGUGUGAGAGCAUGCCCCCGCUCACUGGGACUGAGACACUGCCCCGACACCUACGGGUGGCUGCAGUCGAGGAUCUUCCGCAAUGGGCGCAAGCCUGACGGAGCGACGCCGCGUGCGGGAUGAAGGCUUUCGGGUUGUAAACCGCUGUCAGUGGGGAGCAAAUGCAUCAGGGUUCUCCCUGGUGUUUGAGCGAUCCGCAGAGGAAGCACAGGCUAAUUCCGUGCCAGCCGCCGCGGUAAUAC